NUUAAAUUGAGAGUUUGAUCCUGGCUCAGGAUNAACGCUGGCGGCGUGCCUAAUACAUGCAAGUCGAACGAAACUUCUUUAUCACCGAGUGCUUGCACUCACCGAUAAAGAGUUAAGUGGCGAACGGGUGAGUAACACGUGGGCAACCUGCCUNAAAGAGGGGGAUAACACUUGGAAACAGGUGCUAAUACCGCAUAACCAUAGUUACCGCAUGGUAACUAUGUAAAAGGUGGCUAUGCUACCNCUUUUGGAUGGGCCCNCGGCGCAUUAGCUAGUUGGUGGGGUAAAGGCUUACCAAGGCAAUGAUGCGUAGCCGAACUGAGAGGUUGAUCGGCNNCAUUGGGACUGAGACNCGGCCNNAACUCCUACGGGAGGCAGCAGUAGGGAAUCUUCCACAAUGGGCGAAAGCCUNAUGGAGCAACGCCGCNUGGGUGAAGAAGGUCUUCGGAUCGUAAAACCNNGUUGUUAGAGAAGAAAGUGCGUGAGAGUAACUGUUCACGUUUCGACGGUAUCUAACCAGAAAGCCACGGCUAACUACGUGCCAGCAGCCGCGGUAAUACGUAGGUGGCNAGCGUUAUCCGGAUUUAUUGGGCGUAAAGGGAACGCAGGCGGUCUUUUAAGUCUGAUGUGAAAGNCUUCGGCUUAACCGGAGUAGUGCAUUGGAAACUGGGAGACUUGAGUGCAGAAGAGGAGAGUGGAACUCCAUGUGUAGCGGUGAAAUGCGUAGAUAUAUGGAAGAACACCAGUGGCGAAAGCGGCUCUCUGGUCUGUAACUGACGCUGAGGUUCGAAAGCGUGGGUAGCAAACAGGAUUAGAUACCCUGGUAGUCCACGCCGUAAACGAUGAAUGCUAAGUGUUGGAGGGUUUCCGCCCUUCAGUGCUGCAGCUAACGCAAUAAGCAUUCCGCCUGGGGAGUACGACCGCAAGGUNNNNNNNNNNNNNNNNNNNNNGGGNGCCNNCACAAGCGGUGGAGCAUGUGGUUUAAUUCGAANNAACGCGAAGAACCUUACCAGGUCUUGACAUCUUUUGACAAUCCUAGAGAUAGGACUUUCCCUUCGGGGACAAAAUGACAGGUGGUGCAUGGUUGUCGUCAGCUCGUGUCGUGAGAUGUUGGGUUAAGUCCNNCAACGAGCGCAACCCUUAUUGUUAGUUGCCAGCAUUAAGUUGGGCACUCUAGCAAGACUGCCGGUGACAAACCGGAGGAAGGUGGGGAUGACGUCAAAUCAUNAUGCCCCUUAUGACCUGGGCUACACACGUGCUACAAUGGACGGUACAACGAGUCGCAAGACCGCGAGGUUUAGCAAAUCUCUUAAAGCCGUUCUCAGUUCGGAUUGUAGGCUGCAACUCGCCUACAUGAAGUCGGAAUCGCUAGUAAUCGCGGAUCAGCAUGCCGCGGUGAAUACGUUCCCNGGCNUUGUACACACCGCCCGUCACACCAUGAGAGUUUGUAACACCCAAAGCCGGUGGGGUAACCUUUUGGAGCCAGCCGUCUAAGGUGGGACAGAUGAUNGGGG
rnacentral:rRNA from 1 species